rnacentral:rRNA from 1 species
GAUGAACGCUGGCGGCGUGCUUAACACAUGCAAGUCGAACGAAGCAUUUAGAACAGAUUACUUCGGUUUGAAGUUCUAUAUGACUGAGUGGCGGACGGGUGAGUAACGCGUGGGUAACCUGCCUUGUACUGGGGGAUAGCAGCUGGAAACGGCUGGUAAUACCGCAUAAGCGCACAAUGUUGCAUGACAUGGUGUGAAAAACUCCGGUGGUAUAAGAUGGACCCGCGUCUGAUUAGCUAGUUGGUGAGAUAACAGCCCACCAAGGCGACGAUCAGUAGCCGACCUGAGAGGGUGACCGGCCACAUUGGGACUGAGACACGGCCCAGACUCCUACGGGAGGCAGCAGUGGGGAAUAUUGCACAAGGGAGGAAACUCUGAUGCAGCGACGCCGCGUGAGUGAAGAAGUAAUUCGUUAUGUAAAGCUCUAUCAGCAGGGAAGAUAGUGACGGUACCUGACUAAGAAGCUCCGGCUAAAUACGUGCCAGCCGCCGCAGUAA